rnacentral:tRNA from 1 species
GGACUUAAAAAAUCCGUUGGCUUUAAUAGACCUUGAGGGUUCAAGUCCCUCUACCCCCA